GUGUCAGCAGCCGCGGUAAUACGUAGGGGGCAAGCGUUGUCCGGAAUCAUUGGGCGUAAAGCGCGUGUAGGCGGCUCGGUAAGUCUGCUGUGAAAGUCCAGGGCUCAACCCUGGAAUGCCGGUGGAAACUGUCGAGCUAGAGUCCGGAAGAGGCGAGUGGAAUUCCUGGUGUAGCGGUGAAAUGCGCAGAUAUCAGGAGGAACACCAAUGGCGAAGGCAGCUCGCUGGGACGGUACUGACGCUGAGACGCGAAAGCGUGGGGAGCAAACAGGAUUAGAUACCCUAGUAGUCC
rnacentral:rRNA from 1 species